GACGAACGCUGGCGGCGUGCUUAACACAUGCAAGUCGAACGGAAAGGCCCUGCUUUUGUGGGGUGCUCGAGUGGCGAACGGGUGAGUAACACGUGAGUAACCUGCCCUUGACUGUGGGAUAACUUCAGGAAACUGGGUCUAAUACCGGAUAGGAGCUCCUGCUGCAUGGUGGGGGUUGGAAAGUUUCGGCGGUUGGGGAUGGACUCGCGGCUUAUCAGCUUGUUGGUGGGGUAGUGGCUUACCAAGGCUUUGACGGGUAGCCGGCCUGAGAGGGUGACCGGCCACACUGGGACUGGGAUGCGGCCCAGACUCCUACGGGACGCAGCAGUGGGGAAGAUUGCACAAUGGGCGGAAGCCUGAUGCAGCAAAGCCGCGUGCGGGAUGACGGCCUUCGGGUUGUAAACCGCUGUCGCCUGUGACGAAGCGUGAGUGACGGUAAUGGGUAAAGAAGCACCGGCUAACUACGUG
rnacentral:rRNA from 1 species